CUACGGGGGGCAGCAGUGGGGAAUAUUGCACAAUGGAGGAAACUCUGAUGCAGCAACGCCGCGUGGAGGAUGACACUUUUCGGAGCGUAAACUCCUUUUAUAUAGGAAGAUAAUGACGGUACUAUAUGAAUAAGCACCGGCUAACUCCGUGCCAGCAGCCGCGGUAAUACGGAGGGUGCAAGCGUUACUCGGAAUCACUGGGCGUAAAGAGCGUGUAGGCGGGUUAAUAAGUCAGAAGUGAAAUCCUAUGGCUCAACCAUAGAACUGCUUUUGAAACUGUUAACCUAGAGUGUGGGAGAUGUAGAUGGAAUUGCUGGUGUAGGGGUAAAAUCCGUAGAGAUCAGAAGGAAUACCGAUUGCGAAGGCGAUCUACUGGAACAUAACUGACGCUGAGACGCGAAAGCGUGGGGAGCAAACAGGAUUAGAUACCCCCGUAGUC
rnacentral:rRNA from 1 species